UACAGAGGGUGCGAGCGUUAAUCGGAUUUACUGGGCGUAAAGGGUGCGUAGGUGGUUAUAUUAGUGUGAUGUGAAAGCCCUGGGCUUAACCUAGGAAGAGCAUUGCAAACGGUACAACUAGAGUAUAAGAGAGGGUGGUGGAAUUUCCGGUGUAGCGGUGAAAUGCGUAGAGAUCGGAAGGAACGUCAAUGGCGAAGGCAGCCACCUGGCUUAAUACUGACACUGAAGCACGAAAGCGUGGGGAGCGAACAGG
rnacentral:rRNA from 1 species